rnacentral:rRNA from 1 species
UGUUGUCCGACUCUGUUGCCUCGGGGGCGACCCGGCGCUUCGGCGCCAGGGGGUCCCCGCUGGUCCACACAACUCUGCAUCUUUGCGUCUGAGUAAACAUUAAAUGAAACAAAACUUUCAACAACGGAUCUCUUGGUUCUGGCAUCGAUGAAGAACGCAGCGAAAUGCGAUAAGUAAUGUGAAUUGCAGAAUUCAGUGAAUCAUCGAAUCUUUGAACGCACAUUGCGCCCCCUGGCAUUCCGGGGGGCAUGCCUGUUCGAGCGUCAUUACACCACUCAAGCCUGGCUUGGUAUUGGAGGUCGCGGUCCGCCGCGCCUCCUAAUGUCGCCGGCCGAGUCGUCUGUCUCCGAGCGUUGUGAAUCUUCAAUUCGCUUUCGAGUACAGGCGGCGCGCGCCGUUAAACCUCUUUUUCAGGUUGACCUCGGAUCAGGUAGGGAUACCCGCUGAACUUAAGCAUAUAU